rnacentral:rRNA from 1 species
GGGCCCGCACAAGCAGCGGAGCGUGUGGUUUAAUUCGAUGCUACACGAAGGACCUUACCAGGGUUUGACAUACAAGUGGUAGAGAAGCGAAAGCGGAUCGACCUUCGGGAGCUUGCACAGGUGCUGCAUGGCUGUCGUCAGCUCGUGUCGUGAGAUGUUCGGUUAAGUCCGCUAACGAGCGCAACCCUCGCCGUAUGUUACAAGUGUCAUACGGGACUGCCGGUAAAAGCCGGAGGAAGGUGAGGAUGAUGUCAAGUCAGCAUGACCUUUAUAUCCAGGGCUACACACACGCUACAAUGGUCUGUACAAUUGGUUGCCAAGCCGCGAGGCGGAGCCAAUCCGUAAAGCAGGCCUCAGUUCAGAUUGCAGUCUGCAACUCGACUGCAUGAAGCCGGAGUUGCUAGUAACCGCAGGUCAGCAAUACUGCGGUGAAUACGUUCCCGGGUCUU